rnacentral:rRNA from 1 species
UUGUUAGUCAUUAUGCUUGUCUCAAAGAUUAAGCCAUGCAUGUCUAAGUUCAAGCGAAAAUAAAGUGAAACCGCGAAUGGCUCAUUACAUCAGUUAUGGUUCCUUAGAUCGCACUUACUACUUGGAUAACUGUGGUAAUUCUAGAGCUAAUACAUGCUCUGAGCUCCAACCCUCGUGGAAGGAGCGCUUUUAUUAGAUCAAAGCCAAUCGGGCCUUCGGGUCCGUUAUACUGGUGACUCUGAAUAACUUUGCUGAUCGUAUGGUCUUGUACCGACGACGUAUCUUUCAAGUGUCUGCCUUAUCAACUGUCGAUGGUAGGUUAUGCGCCUACCAUGGUGGCAACGGGUAACGGGGAAUGGGGCGGGGGCGGCGGGCCGGGCGCGGGGCGCCGGCGGGCGA